UUUUGCUAUACUUUUUGGACCUUUUGGAUUAUAGCUCUUCAUCUUUUAUAUAAGCUUUGGAUUUCAAAUAUUUGGCCACGAGCAUCACUGAAGAGACAUGUAUUGUCGAAAUGCGCAUCUGGUGCAAGAAAAUUGAUACCGUUAAUUUUAUUAUAUUGAUAUAUAUUAUAUAUACACAUGACAUCACAACAGAAAGGAAAUUGAUAUUGGGUUAAACUACAAGGUAUCAUAAAACCGGUGGUAACUUGUUAAAAUAAACAGGAAAUCAGUGUCAACAGUGUUGACAUUAAAUAUAUCUGGAUUUGACCAACACCAUGUACUAGCCAUCGAUAAAUGACGUAGAUUUAUGUUCGACAAAAUUAAACAAAAACACCAAUAUCAUAGGUUCAAAAAUACAAAUAUAAGAAAACCAAAACCCAAUAAAAUUAUUGAUUACAAUGUAUAUAUAUAUUUGAACGAUUUUACCCCGAGUUCCUUGAUAUAUCUUAAACAUAAUGCCUUGUUAUUGUAUAAAUUUUCUAAGUUGUAAACAAAACAUUGAAAGCAUUAUUAUACAUUAUCAUAUUUUCAGUUAAUGAAAUAUCCAUAACGAAUACACAUGUAUCUUGUUUUUCGUAUGUUUGCAAUCAUUUGUGUGUUUACUUAAGAAUUGUAAAUUUAUUGGGAUGUAAACGCGUUGACCGAAGUUCAUUUUGUAUAAAGCGCGGAAGUGCUUCAUUCUGACAUUGUGCGCACGGUAAACGCUUUUACAACCCUAUAAAAUUCACCACAAAAAGUAUUUUAAAUAUUAUAAUAUAAUUUCGAUUUUUUGUUGCUAUGAUCAUGAAAACACGUGUUCUAUCAAGUUUUACCUUUAUUUAGUUGUGCACUUUAUUGUGGAAGCUCAUGACAUCAAGAAUGCUAUAUUUCAUUUUGAAAUGAAGGUUAAUUUCAGAAUUACGCAAGAUUGCUGUUAGCCAAACAAAAUAACAUGUUAUAAUGAAACAUACAUGUAAUGUAAUUG
rnacentral:lncRNA from 1 species